AGGUCUUGGUCUUAAACCUCACAUUACCUAAAAACCAUCUGUUUAUACAUGCGAGCCUCACCGCAACGGUGAAACAGCCAUAACAACCUAAGCCGACAUCAGUCUAUUUGACCACAACGCCAAGCGACAGCCACACCCCCACGGGCAACAGCAGUAAUUAACAUUUGGCCAUAAGUGAAAACUUGACCAAGCAAGAUGGGUAGAGGGCCGGUUAAUCUCGUGCCAGCGACCGCGGUUACACGAUAGGCCCAAGAUAAUAUUAACGGCGUAAAAAUGACUAAAAAUAAUAGUUACUAAACCUAGGAUAAAAACUACACUGGGCUGUAAAAAGCCAUAAGUCACACUAAGCACCACCCCUAACACCACACAACUUUGACUCAUGAAAGCUAGGAUACAAACUAAGAUUAGAUACCCUACUAUGCCUAGCCGUAACACACAAUCAAAUUACGAAUUGUUCGCCAAACAACUACGAGUAAUACUUAAAACUUAAAAGACUUGACGGUACUUCACCCCGACCUAGAGGAGCCUGUCUAAUAACCGACAAUCCACGAUUAACCCAACCACUUCUUGCCUAACAGUCUAUAUACCGCCGUCGCCAGCUUACCUUGUAAAAGAAAUAAAGUGAGCUAAACAGUAACACACUAAAACGACAGGUCGAGGUGUAACCUAUGAAGCGGACCAAGAUGGGCUACAUUCUCCAACAGAGAAUACGAACAACACUAUGAAAUUAAUGUUUGAAGGCGGAUUUAGCAGUAAGAUAAGAACAAAACACUUAACUGAACACAACGCAAUGAAGUGCGCACACACCGCCCGUCAUCCCUGCCACCACAAUAUUAAAUCUUAAUAAAUCAACUUAAUAAGCCAACCAGGGCAAGUCGUAACAUGGUAGGUGUACUGGAAAGUGUACCUAGAAA
rnacentral:ncRNA from 1 species